UCCCUGGUGGUCAAGUGGUUAAAACUCUGCGCUCCCAAUGCAGGGGCACAGGUUUAAGCCCUGAUCAGGGAA
rnacentral:tRNA from 1 species